GGGCCAGUUGGAGGACUGGAUGUGUUGCUCCCAUUGGCUGGAGCUGGAUUUCCUGGACUUUGCAGAGAGGGUGCGGCUCUUCUGCUGGAUGGCCUUAAGGAGUCAGCAGGGAUGUAUUACCGGAUAAAGUUGAGCAGCUCCCAAGCCUGCACUGUCCUAUGGGGAAGACAUUCAGAAUAACCAGGCCCACUGCUUUGCCUCCAAACCAGUCACCAUGGUGAAUCUGAGGAACAGAUGACAGAGACAUACGACUUUAUGAACGGUUGACUCUGAGGAAGAAGCUGUGCAUCGAAACUUUAGUUGUUUGAACCAUUAAAGUCUGAAAAAGC